GGGCCAGGCAUUCUCAUCGGGCCCUAAGGAAGUGAGAGGCAUGCCUUAAGGUGUGGCUAGAACUCAUAGUUCUGGACAUCCAUUAUCAUCCUGUCUAAUUCUAUCACUGCCCUGCUGCAUCUGGGAAAAUCCCCUGUUCCUGAGCCUCCAUUGGAUGAAUCGGCUCCCAUAUCAGCUCAUUCCUGCUGCUGGCACGGGGCUAGUCCAAGGUGUUGCAACUGUUUAUUUAGUGUCUGUCUUUCCCAUACAAGCUCCUCCAGGGCACAGAUCCAGAAUUAUAGACUCCACAUCCCAGUAACUCCCACAGUGUCUGAUAUAUAAUGAAGGCAGACUUCUCACCUUGCAAAAGAAAUUGCUCACAGGCUGAUAGCCCGGUUGAUGCUCUUCCUUGUUUCAAUUCAUCUGAUUAAUGCACAUCAGAUGUACGGUCCCAUCUGAUGAAGCCCCAACCGUUAAGGGGAAGUAUUUGUCAUCUCAGCACCUGGUUUCAGGAACAAAGUACUCACCUCCU